AUAACCUGCUGAGAGAUUAGACAAUGAUGAAAGUGUUUAAAGUUUGACUGAAUACUAGACAUAACUCAUUAAUCCUGAGCUGUUGCCUGAUUUA